AACGAACGCUGGCGGCAGGCCUAACACAUGCAAGUCGAGCGAACCCUUCGGGGUUAGCGGCGGACGGGUUAGUAACGCGUGGGAAUAUACCCUUUGGUACGGAAUAGCCUCGGGAAACUGAGAGUAAUACCGUAUGUGCCCUUCGGGGGAAAGAUUUAUCGCCAAAGGAUUAGCCCGCGUUGGGAUUAGAUAGUUGGUGGGGUAAUGGCCUACCAAGUCUACGAUCCAUAGCUGGUUUGAGAGGAUGAUCAGCAACACUGGGACUGAGACACGGCCCAGACUCCUACGGGAGGCAGCAGUGGGGAAUCUUAGACAAUGGGCGCAAGCCUGAUCUAGCCAUGCCGCGUGGACGACGAAGGCCUUAGGGUUGUAAAGUCCUUUCAGAUGGGAAGAGUAAUGACGGUACCAUCAGAAGAAGCCCCGGNUAACUCCGUGU
rnacentral:rRNA from 1 species